rnacentral:misc_RNA from 1 species
GAUGAAGAACGUAGCGAAAUGCGAUAAGUAGUGUGAAUUGCAGAAUUCAGUGAAUCAUCGAAUCUUUGAACGCACAUUGCGCCCCAUGGUAUUCCGUGGGGCAUGCCUGUUCGAGCGUCAUUUACCCCCUCAAGCUCCGCUUGGUGUUGGGCGUCUGACCCGCUUCGCGCGCGGACUCGCCCCAAAGGUAUUGGCAGCGGUCGUGCCAGCUUCUCGCGCAGCACAUUGCGCUUCUCGAGGCACCGGUGGGCCCGCGUCCAUCAAGCUCACCCCCCCAGUUUGACCUCGGAUCAGGUAGGGAUACCCGCUGAACUUAAGCAUAUCAAUAAGCGGAGGA